UGAGCAAUCUGCCCUUCACAUCGGAAUAACCAUUGGAAACGAUGGCUAAUACCGAAUAUGACUUCGGAUCGCAUGAUCUGAAGUGGAAAGCUCCGGCGGUGAAGGAUGAGCUCGCGGCCUAUCAGCUAGUUGGUGUGGGUAAUGGCCCACCAAGGCGACGACGGGUAGCCGGCCUGAGAGGGUGACCGGCCACACUGGGACUGAGACACGGCCCAGAUCCUACGGG
rnacentral:rRNA from 1 species